rnacentral:lncRNA from 1 species
UGCCACCACUUUCAGCCACAUGUAGCCACCACCCACCAUUAUCACUAAAACAUCACAACACCAAAGGUAAUUUUUCAUGCCCCUAAUCCUAUUUUUCUUAUUUUUUCAAUCAAUAUGCUAUAUUUUUCACUUUUUUUUAUUUGGUAGAUGACAAAUUGGCCAUUUUAUUCUGACGUUAUUUAUUAAAUAAUCUGCUAUUCAAAUAGUUAUUACAUAAUAUUCACGAUAAUGCGAAUAUUUUCUAAGAAUAACUUAUAGUUGACUAAAUUAUUGUAUUUUUUUUUUGUUAUUUUUUAAUUCCUUAGACCUAGUUUUUAUAAUUUUUUAUUAAUAAUUUUAUUU